rnacentral:rRNA from 1 species
UACGUAGGGUGCAAGCGUUAAUCGGAAUUACUGGGCGUAAAGCGUGCGCAGGCGGCUUUGCAAGACAGAUGUGAAAUCCCCGGGCUUAACCUGGGAACUGCAUUUGUGACUGCAUGGCUAGAGUGCGGCAGAGGGGGAUGGAAUUCCGCGUGUAGCAGUGAAAUGCGUAGAUAUGCGGAGGAACACCGAUGGCGAAGGCAAUCCCCUGGGCCUGCGACUGACGCUCAUGCACGAAAGCGUGGGGAGCAAACAGG